rnacentral:rRNA from 1 species
UUGAUCUCAGACUAGCCAUGCACGUCUAAGUACAAACUUCAAUUGGAUUGGGUGAAACUUGGCAAAUGGGCUUCAUUACAACGGUUAUGAUGUACCCGGGAGUUCCGAUGGAUAUUUCCAGUAACACUAGAACUAAUACAUGUCCCUGCGUUUAUUAGUUUCGCACAGUCCGUCGCUGAGUCAUGGUAAACAGUUGAUCGACUCGACGUCCCGGAACAGUUUCCGCCCCAUCAGCUUCGAUGGUUGGGUAUUGGCCUACCAUUGCAACAACGGGUAACGAGGAAUUAGGGUUUGAUUUCGGAGAGGGAGCCUGAGAAACGGCUACCACAUCUACGGAUGGCAGCAGGCGCGCAAAUUACCCAAUGCAGACACUGUGAGGUAGUGACGAGAAAUAAUAAAGCGGGACUUCUGUUUCGCUAUUAUAAUGAGGAAUAACCAAAGGUCAUUCCGAUUAGCAACUGAUGGGAAAGUCUGGUGCCAGCAGCCGCGGUAAUACCAGC